GAUGAACGCUGGCGGCGUGCCUAAUACAUGCAAGUCGAGCGAACAGAUGAGGAGCUUGCUCCUCUGACGUUAGCGGCGGACGGGUGAGUAACACGUGGAUAACCUACCUAUAAGACUGGGAUAACUUCGGGAAACCGGAGCUAAUACCGGAUAAUAUAUUGAACCGCAUGGUUCAAUAGUGAAAGACGGUUUUGCUGUCACUUAUAGAUGGAUCCGCGCCGCAUUAGCUAGUUGGUAAGGUAACGGCUUACCAAGGCAACGAUGCGUAGCCGACCUGAGAGGGUGAUCGGCCACACUGGAACUGAGACACGGUCCAGACUCCUACGGGAGGCAGCAAUAGGGAAUCUUCCGCAAUGGGCGAAAGCCUGACGGAGCAACGCCGCGUGAGUGAUGAAGGUCUUCGGAUCGUAAAACUCUGCUAUUAGGGAAGAACAAAUGUGUAAGUAACUAUGCACGUCUUGACGGUACCUAAUCAGAAAGCCACGGCUAACUACGUG
rnacentral:rRNA from 1 species